rnacentral:rRNA from 1 species
AUGCUGCCGCGAUCGCCGGCAAGCCUCCACCUCCGGUCGCUCCGGUGGCCGCGGGGCUUCAGCUCGUCCUCAGCCCCGGCCGCGGCCGCGAAGGAAGGGGCUGACGGGAAGAUCGUGGCCUCGGUGGUGUUCGAGCGCCUCCCCGUCGUCAUCCCCAAGAUCCACCCCGUCGUCUACGCCUUCCAAGAAUUCUCGUUCCGAUGGAGGCAGCAGUACAGGCGGCAGUACCCUGACGAUGUCCUAGGCAAGGCGGACGCGAGGGGCAAGGGUGAUUAUCAGAUAGACUAUGUGCCUGCUCCAAGAAUCACAGAAGCUGACAAAGCAAAUGACAGGAAGUCACUACAACGAGCUCUGGAUAAUAAGCUCUAUCUUCUCCUGUACGGCAAAACUUUUGGGGCUCCUGAUGGCAAGCCUGUUUGGCAUUUUCCAGAAAAAGUUUAUGAAAAUGAAGACUCUUUGCGUUUGUGUGCCGAGUCAGCCCUAAAAUCUGUUCUCGGCGGGCUUGACAAUACAUAUUUUGUUGGCAACGCUCCAAUGGCUCACAUGGUAACUGAACAAAAAGAGGAUUCCACUGUUUCACCAUUCAAGCAGCGGUUCUUCUUCAAGUCGCAAGUGAUUGGCACCACGCAUUUGGACAUCAGGAGGUGCGAGGACCAUGCGUGGGUGACCAAAGCUGAGUUGCUGGAAUAUUUUCCGGAGCACAAGGAUCUCUUGAACAAGAUGAUCAUUCACGUAAGAUAG